UUUACAACCUGGACACAUACCAUAGUAAAUUCAAAUCCGGGACACUCAAAUUAGUUAGAUAUGUUAUGUUUGGUAUGCCUGGAACAAUGAUUCGAAUGAGGGAAUCACUGGCACGGGCGAUCAAAUAUAGACAGGAGAAUGACGAGGCAGUUGGAGGGUUCUUCUCACAG